rnacentral:lncRNA from 1 species
GAAAAUGAAUGAGGUGGAUGAGGAGUCGAAGCAGGUCUCGUACAAUGUUAUUAGAGAUGAGAAUGGAAACGUCAAGCUCGAUUGCCCUGCCAUUGGAAAAUCGUUCGCUGCUGAAGAAAUUUCAGCUCAGGUAUAUAUUUAAUCUUGCAUUCUGCUUCAUAAACAUGUAUUAACGCUUUAGGAUGCUUUUGGUAUGAAGUUAGUAAAAAAGUUGAUAACAUAUGAUAUUACAAGGUGUUGGAUAAGGUAUGAGGAUAGGGUUUAACUUAAUAUGUACUAAAGACUGACAAUAAUAUCUUUUUUCUUUGGUCCAAGUCAAUAUAUCUAAGUAUUAAAAUCAUUCGCCGCUGAAGAAAUUUCAGCUCAGGUAUAUAUUUAAUCUUGCAUUCUGCUUCAUAAACAUGUAUUAACGCUUUAGGAUGCUUUUGGUAUGAAGUUAGUAAAAAAGUUGAUAACAUAUGAUAUUACAAGGUGUUGGAUAAGGUAUGAGGAUAGGGUUUAACUUAAUAUGUACUAAAGACUGACAAUAAUAUCUUUUUUCUUUGGUCCAAGUCAAUAUAUCUAAGUAUUGAUUGAAGUAAGAGAUAUGGAGCAAAAGUAGAUUUAUUAUAAAAGAACGUUAUUUUUUC